AUUGAACGCUGGCGGCAGGCCUAACACACGCAAGUCGAGCGGAUGAAGGGAGCUUGCUCCUGGAUUCAGCGGCGGACGGGUGAGUAAUGCCUAGGAAUCUGCCUGGUAGUGGGGGAUAACGUCCGGAAACGGGCGCUAAUACCGCAUACGUCCUGAGGGAGAAAGUGGGGGAUCUUCGGACCUCACGCUAUCAGAUGAGCCUAGGUCGGAUUAGCUAGUUGGUGGGGUAAAGGCCUACCAAGGCGACGAUCCGUAACUGGUCUGAGAGGAUGAUCAGUCACACUGGAACUGAGACACGGUCCAGACUCCUACGGGAGGCAGCAGUGGGGAAUAUUGGACAAUGGGCGAAAGCCUGAUCCAGCCAUGCCGCGUGUGUGAAGAAGGUCUUCGGAUUGUAAAGCACUUUAAGUUGGGAGGAAGGGCGGUAAGUUAAUACCUUGCUGUUUUGACGUUACCAACAGAAUAAGCACCGGCUAACUUCGUG
rnacentral:rRNA from 1 species